CAUCUUAUUUGUAACGAACUCACCUAUAUUUGGUUACAAAUAGGAAGGAUAUUUUUUUCUAAUUUUAUUACCGCUUCUUUUUUCUUUUCUCAUUCUCUCUCGAGAAACCCUAAUUUCCUCUCUUCUCUCUCUCAUUACCGCCUCUUUCCCUCCUCUCUCUCUCUCUAUCUCUCUUCACUCACUGUUGGCCCUUUCUUUCAUUCUUCACUCCACCGCCGUUCCUUUCUAUGCCGCCGACCCACUUUACCUCUCUAUUUAUUCUCUACGGCCUCAUUCACUAAUGGUCGUGAUGGUGGCGACAAUGGAUUGAUGAUUUUCGCGACCACCUUGAUUAACUGCAGAAGCUUUAGACUUUUGCCGAGCAGCGGAAGCCACCUCUCCUCCUUAGCUUGGCUCUUUCUCUCUCUUGUGGGUUAAGGUUUUGAUUUUGGAUUCGUGAUUUGGUGGUUAUCUUGAUUGACAUUAGGUAAACGGUUUUUUAAAUUGAUUAUUCAAGGAAUUUAUCAGAAUCUACAUGUCAAAUUUACUUGUAUGUAUUUUUUUAAUUGUCUCUCUCUCUCUCUCACUUUUUUUUUUUUUUUUUUUUUUUUUUUUUUUUUAGGGAAAGCGCCAAUCAUAGUCUCAUGUAGAAUUAGUUUGUUUAAUUUGAUUGUAUUUCCUAUGCUUUAAUUUACAAAUAAUGUAUGUAUGUAUGUAUGUAUAUAAUGGAAGGGUCUGCUUUAAUUUAA